rnacentral:misc_RNA from 1 species
CAACAACCUGUUGCCAUGUAUUGCGAUUUGUAUCAGUCACAAGCACACAACCCCUUCUAGUAUUAAUGAUGUUUAAAACGUUCUACACGUACGGCGGACCGCAUCCGUCGCAAGCACGCGCAUAUAACCCCCAAAUGCACCAUGAUGAGAAGCACAGCCACGCGUCAAAAAACUUUAAAAACAUCGUUAUCCAAUAUUAAAAACCACACCGAAAUUUACACAGGUGGCACGUUACCGUGUUAGUGUCACCCACUGUACACAAGGCGUGUCGUAUAUGUAGUAUAGGUAUUUGAUGAGGCGGAAGCAUAUCCCGCUUCCAGCGAACGGAAAUAAGGACCAUCCGUUCCAGCAUUUAUUCAAAGGGGGCACAGAGGGUUCACAUUGUUUAGAGAGAGUUUUUCUUAGUAACCAUUCCAUACUUUGGCAGUAUUGGCCUACGAUUUGGGCGACGUUUCAGGCUGGUCUAUUCUCCGUCCACUUUUCCCCGGCUAUUCUAUCCCAGCAUAGGCUCUUGAAAUAAACAAUGUUUACCGAGUAAAA